rnacentral:rRNA from 1 species
GAUGAACGCUGGCGGCGUGCCUAAUACAUGCAAGUCGAGCGAACAGACGAGGAGCUUGCUCCUCUUACGUUAGCGGCGGACGGGUGAGUAACACGUGGAUAACCUACCUAUAAGACUGGGAUAACUUCGGGAAACCGGAGCUAAUACCGGAUAAUAUAUUGAACCGCAUGGUUCAAUAGUGAAAGACGGUUUUGCUGUCACUUAUAGAUGGAUCCGCGCCGCAUUAGCUAGUUGGUAAGGUAACGGCUUACCAAGGCAACGAUGCGUAGCCGACCUGAGAGAGUGAUCGGCCACACUGGAACGGAGACACGGUCCAGACUCCUACGGGAGGCAGCAGUAGGGAAUCUUCCGCAAUGGGCGAAAGCAUGACGGAGCAACGGCGCGUGAGUGAUGAAGGUCUUCGGAUCGUAAAACUCUGUUAUUAGGAAAGAACAAAUGUGUAAGUAACUAUGCACGUCUUGACGGUACCUAAUCAGAAAGCCACGGCUAACUACGUG